rnacentral:rRNA from 1 species
CAGUAGCCACGGUAAUACGUAGGUGGCGAGCGUUGUCCAGAAUCAUUGGGCGUAAAGGGAGCGCAGGCGGGCAUGUAAGUCUUUCUUAAAAGUUCGGGGCUCAACCCCGUGAUGGGAAAGAAACUACAUGUCUUGAGUACAGGAGAGGAAAGCGGAAUUCCCAGUGUAGCGGUGAAAUGCGUAGAUAUUGGGAGGAACACCAGUGGCGAAGGCGGCUUUCUGGACUGCAACUGACGCUGAGGCUCGAAAGCCAGGGGAGCGAACGGGAUUAGAUACCCCAGUAGUCCCUGUCUCUUAUACA